rnacentral:piRNA from 1 species
UUUCGUAAAGAUUUUCGUAAA